GAUGAACGCUGGCGGCGUGCUUAACACAUGCAAGUCGAACGAAGCACUUUGGAAUGAUUCUUCGGAUGAAUGAAGAAGUGACUGAGUGGCGGACGGGUGAGUAACGCGUGGGUAACCUGCCUCAUACAGGGGGAUAACAGUUAGAAAUGGCUGCUAAUACCGCAUAAGCGCACAGGACCGCAUGGUCCGGUGUGAAAAACUCCGGUGGUAUGAGAUGGACCCGCGUCUGAUUAGGUAGUUGGUGGGGUAACGGCCUACCAAGCCGACGAUCAGUAGCCGACCUGAGAGGGUGACCGGCCACAUUGGGACUGAGACACGGCCCAAACUCCUACGGGAGGCAGCAGUGGGGAAUAUUGCACAAUGGGCGAAAGCCUGAUGCAGCGACGCCGCGUGAGCGAAGAAGUAUUUCGGUAUGUAAAGCUCUAUCAGCAGGGAAGAAAAUGACGGUACCUGACUAAGAAGCACCGGCUAAAUACGUGCCAGCCGCCGCCGUAAUAC
rnacentral:rRNA from 1 species